rnacentral:rRNA from 1 species
AAUAGAUACCCCGGUAGUCCACGCCGUAAACGAUGAGUGCUAAGUGUUAGAGGGUUUCCGCCCUUUAGUGCUGCAGCAAACGCAUUAAGCACUCCGCCUGGGGAGUACGGUCGCAAGACUGAAACUCAAAGGAAUUGACGGGGGGCCCGCACAAGCGGUGGAGCAUGUGGUUUAAUUCGAAGCAACGCGAAGAACCUUACCAGGUCUUGACAUCCUUAUGCCAUCCCUAGAGAUAGGGCUUUCCCUUCGGGGACAUAAGUGACAGGUGGUGCAUGGUUGUCGUCAGCUCGUGUCGUGAGAUGUUGGGUUAAGUCCCGCAACGAGCGCAACCCUUGAUCUUAGUUGCCAGCAUUAAGUUGGGCACUCUAAGGUGACUGCCGGUGACAAACCGGAGGAAGGUGGGGAUGACGUCAAAUCAUCAUGCCCCUUAUGACCUGGGCUACACACGUGCUACAAUGGAUGGUACAAAGGGCAGCGAAACCGCGAGGUUAAGCCAAUCCCAUAAAACCAUUCUCAGUUCGGAUUGCAGG